rnacentral:hammerhead_ribozyme from 1 species
ACCAAACUGAUGAGUCCCAAAUAGGGCAAAACGAGCGUCCUGGAU